AUUGAACGCUGGCGGCAUGCUUUACACAUGCAAGUCGAACGACCGCACGGGCUUCUUCCUCCCCUCGCGUUGCCAACGGGUGAGUAAUUCAUCCGUACGUACCCUGUCUUUGGGGCUAGGCCGGCUACAGCCGGCUUAAUCUCGCAUCCGACCUUAUAGUGAACCCCAUGGUUCAAUAGUCCUCGCGCUAUUUGCGCGCCCUAUGUCGGAUUAGCUAGUUGGUUGGGUAAAGGCUUACCAAGGCGACGAUCCGUAGCUGGUCUGAGAGGACGACCAGCCACACUGGGACUGAGACACGGCCCAGACUCCUACGGGAGGCAGCAGUAGGGAAUGUUGGACAAUGGGGGAAAGCCUGAUCGAGCAAUGCAGCGUGAGGGAAGAAGGUCUUCGGGUUGUAAAACGCUUUUGUUAGGGAAGAAAAAAUGUGGGAGAAAAAACGGAGGGGAUGACGGUACCGGAAGAAAAAGCAACGGCUAACUACGUG
rnacentral:rRNA from 1 species